AGGGCUUAUGCUGGUUUUUUAAAUCCUUCCGCUGUCUCCCACUGCUGUUUACUAUUCAAUUAUUUUGAAUAAUUGUGAACGGCACCAGUCUAUUUGGCCACCAGUGAGGUGGGAGGGGUUCUAAAAAGGGCAUUCCUGCACAGCUGACAGUGACCCAUCCCCAGAAAAGGGGAGGGGCCAAAAAUGGUGGUCAACUGAUUAUUAGGGACACCUCAAAAAGGACAGGGACGGGAGUGAGAUGAAAGGGGUGAGAGGUUUCAGAGUGACAGCCGUGGAGUCUGAGAUCAUGUGUGUAUUCACAGAAUAGAUAUAGCUGGGUCUGCUCUAAGGCAAAACCUGCGAAUUGUACUUCUGCCUGUCUUGGCAGUUGAAGGCCACUGUUGGGUACAACUGUCAACAUUCUUCUACAGAGGGUCAACUGCCCUUAAAAGAGACAAUAUGAAGCCUCUACUGAAGAACUAGUCUCUUGAUGCUGAAAAUGCCAUUAACUAUUCACUUGUGUUCAACCUUACUUUUUGAUGGAUAAACAGAGGCUUAAGAAGUUAAAUUGCCUAAAGACACACAGCUAGAAAGAGAAAGAGCCAGAAGUCCUACCUCUUAAUUCUCUGCUUUAACCACUUGACACACUGUCACCCAUAGUUCAACUUCCUGGAGAAGUAGUAGAUCUUCAUCUUUAAUUUGGAAUCGGUGGCUGGACCUUUUUUAAACAAGAACCUGGAUUCAGACAAAGCAUUGGGCACUUUGCUGGCUACAGAGCACUUGAUGACAAAGAGAACCUGGACCUGACCUCUUUCAACUCCUGUUCAUUAGAACAGAUGAUACGAACAUUUCAUUGGAAGGCACAGGAACAAGCUGAAAGCAUGGCAAAACCUAGAGAGGAGGCCCCUUGUCCUUCAGAACUACAACUUACUGUUGUUUGGACCCGGUAAGUAAAAUUUGGUGGCAGACAGCAUGAAGGAGAUUUUCAAAAGCACAAAGGACAGGUAGUUGAAAGUCAAUGGGAGUUAGCUGCCUAACUUCCAUUUGUGCCUUUCACCUUCUGUGCUGUCCUGACCAUGAGGCCUACACAACAGAGGAGUGAACCUGUAAUGUCCUCUUCCAAAGACAUUUCUUCACUUUUCUCCCAGGCUUUCUUUGCUAAUUAUGCAGACAGUAGACUGCUCAGU